rnacentral:rRNA from 1 species
CCACACUGGAACUGAGACACGGUCCAGACUCCUACGGGAGGCAGCAGUGGGGAAUUUUGGACAAUGGGCGAAAGCCUGAUCCAGCAAUGCCGCGUGAGUGAAGAAGGCCUUCGGGUUGUAAAGCUCUUUUGUCAGGGAAGAAACGGUGAAAGCUAAUAUCUUUUGCUAAUGACGGUACCUGAAGAAUAAGCACCGGCUAACUACGUGCCAGCAGCCGCGGUAAUACGUAGGUGGCAAGCGUUAUCCGGAAUUAUUGGGCGUAAAGCGCGCGUAGGCGGUUUUUUAAGUCUGAUGUGAAAGCCCACGGCUCAACCGUGGAGGGUCAUUGGAAACUGGAAAACUUGAGUGCAGAAGAGGAAAGUGGAAUUCCAUGUGUAGCGGUGAAAUGCGCAGAGAUAUGGAGGAACACCAGUGGCGAAGGCGACUUUCUGGUCUGUAACUGACGCUGAUGUGCGAAAGCGUGGGGAUCAAACAGGAUUAGAUACCCUGGUAGUCCACGCCGUAAACGAUGAGUGCUAAGUGUUAGGGGGUUUCCGCCCCUUAGUGCUGCAGCUAACGCAUUAAGCACUCCGCCUGGGGAGUACGACCGCAAGGUUAAAACUCAAAUGAAUUGACGGGGGCCCGCACAAGCGGUGGAGCAU